UACGUAGGGGGCUAGCGUUGUCCGGAAUCAUUGGGCGUAAAGAGCGUGUAGGCGGUCCGGUAAGUCCGCUGUGAAAGUCGGGGGCUCAACCCUCGAAUGCCGGUGGAUACUGUCGGGCUAGAGUGCGGAAGAGGCGAGUGGAAUUCCUGGUGUAGCGGUGAAAUGCGCAGAUAUCAGGAGGAACACCGAUGGCGAAGGCAGGUCUCUGGGCCAUAACUGACGCUGAGAAGCGAAAGCAUGGGGAGCGAACAGG
rnacentral:rRNA from 1 species